rnacentral:lncRNA from 1 species
CCUCAGUGAGGACCUGCAACAGGGAAGGCGCAACAUAAUAUUAAAGGGAUUGAACUGGAUGGACAAGAUGGCCAAAUGAAUUAGGAGUCAUCUAACCUUUGCCAUGCAAUAUCACAAGCACAUGACGUGGUAGAGUAUAAGCCAAAUGAAGCAAAAUAUUAUCAACAAACAGUAGGUCCUACCAAAACAAAUAAAAAGAGAUGAACAUGGAAAUCCAGCAAAGGAAAGUACGGUAGGAGAAAAAAUAAUAAAUUAAUACCACAGGAACAAUUUCCUGCACAAGCGUAAAGGUACAUUUUAAAUCUCAAAAGGAAAAAAGAAGCAACUUACAUUUUUUUAUAGUGUCCAUGAUUAACCAAUAAGCUUCAUCUUCCUGAAGUUACACACAGACACAAAUUGCUUAGUGCAAAGCAAAAUCCCAUGUUACACUGAAUGGCAACAAAAAUGGCACAAGGCAGAGCUGCUUUGAUUCUUGAAAACCCUAUGUGUAGCAGUAUCAAUAAUCAAAUAGCAUCACCUUGAAAGAUUAAUCGGAGCACCACGAACAUAUAGAUUUUCUAAAAGCCAGAGAACUCUAUCAAAGCAGGUCUGCCUUGUGUCUUCUUUUUGUGAAAGCAGUUCUGCAUUCAGAAAUAGAACCAAUCUAUUUUCUAAAAUCAAAAUAGAAUUUGACCAGUUUUGCAUCAACUAAAGGUAAUGUUCCAUUGGUGGCCUAGCAGGCUAGCACUGAAAAACUAAAAAUAUUGCUAUCACAAAGGUAGUGUUCCAUUGUUGGCAUAGCACAGGAAACUCGAAAUAUUGCUAUCACAAGAAGAUUGCACCAUAUCCAAAAUAGAAAUUAAUUGGUGAUAAGUAACAUGCUAAAAAUAUAGCUUCCAUGUUUUUGUCCAAUCGAACUUCAUAAUAGGCAGACUUUAUUUGGCUCAUCUGAUAUAAACUAAAAUGGAAGUUCCACCGCAUGUAGCAAGAAUUUGAUUGUCUAAUCUAACCCUACAAAAAUGUAAAAGUAGUUGAGUAUAUGGAAGUAUUACUAAAGAACACAUUUAAAAGAGAGGUCUCGAGGCGAAGGAAAGUCCUAGAUUCCAUUUUUAUAAACAUGAUAUUACUUUGGAUGUGCAAAUACAAAUAAACCUAUGUAGGUUUUUCAUAUAGCCUAAAACAGUUUUCAUAGUUUGAAAGGCAUUGUUAAAUUAGGCACUAUUGUACUCUUCCUAGGUUUUGGUUGUUUACUGCUAGGUAUAGCGCAUCCGGUUUGAUUUUGCAAGCCUUUCAGACAUGGGAAGGGUCUGUAAUGCAAAUAGUCUCUCCAUGAUGAUAGUAGUAGUUGUGAUGAUGAACAUGACACUCCAUCCAUCUCAAAAUAUGUAGUGGUCUUUCUUUUAGGAUAUACUAGUGUUUAAUAAAAGGUACUUGUGUAUCAUUUUUAUAAGGUAGGAGGAAAUUCUAUUUGGCAUGCUCCAGCCUAUACAUAUAAUUUUUGUUUCAUGUGAUUUACCUCUAGAAGAUUGAAUCCCAUGAUGCUAGCCAAAUUGGAAGCAGACACUGGGAGCCCUUGCCGUACCUAAUCAUAAGCCUUUCUAUCAAAAGAAGCAGCAACACCAAGAAUAGCUAAUUGUUGCUAGUCGUAAUGAAAAAUACAAUUGAGUUCCUAACAAUCUAAUAAUAGACAUAAAAGCAAAGUCAAUGCAGGUAUCAAGGAAAGUUCCCAGCUAGAACUAUCAAGUUUCGAACAUUAUUAAUAGCCAUAAUUAGUCGAGUAGGGAAUAAAGAAGCACAAUAGCUUAAAUUAGCUCAUAUCGGCCUUUCCCUAAGCCAAAUGCACCUAAAUGUUUAUGAAGAAAGCACUGAAUUAGAGUAAUCAAGGAUGAUCAAUUCUGGGCAUUGCAACGAUCAUCUCAAAUAAAGUAAUAUACUUACCUAUAUAUCCUAGAGUUAAUGGCAGAACACUAUACGUAAUAGAUAGAGAGUUGGGGAUGGAGAUUAGGGGCAAGCACCUGUUUUUUCGGACGAAUAGAAUCAAUCAUUGAAACUCCAGUGUAGAUUAGAAGAGGGGUCAGGUCACGGUUGCAUCGCGGGUGUCAAGCACAGGGAGUUAGGGUUUCGUGGAGCUCACCGAAACGGCGGGAGCGGCCAGCGCCAUGGGGCAGGCACGCCGGCGGCCAGGGAAUGGCGGCCGCUGAGGCAUACGCGCGCCACCGUGCACCAAAUCGGCGAUGCAGUCGCCCGGGCAGGGCACCGCGCAGUGAGUAGGCGGCGCCGAGGCUCGGCAGGCACACUGCGAUGCCGAGAGAGAGGGAGAGGGAGAGGGAGGAGGAGAAGGAGAGUGGAAGGGAGCGGCGUCACCGUGCCCCGCUCGCGGCCGUCGCCGUCACUGUUGUCCGCGUCGGGAGGAAGAGCGAGAGCGAGAGGGAGAGGGAGACCGAGCGAGGGAGGAGAAGGGUCAAGACGCAGAAGGCUCGGGAAGGUGGAGCCGAAGCUGUUGUAUAUAUUUGCUUUUCGG